rnacentral:hammerhead_ribozyme from 1 species
AUCUAAACGACGAGUCCCAAAUAGGAUGAAACGAGCGUCAAACUGAAU